rnacentral:rRNA from 1 species
GACGAACGCUGGCGGCGUGCCUAAUACAUGCAAGUAGAACGCAGUUGCGAACGGGUGAGUAACGCGUAGGUAACUGCCUGGUAGCGGGGGAUAACUAUUGGAAACGAUAGCUAAUACCGCAUACUACCAGAUGGACCUGCGUUGUAUUAGCUAGUUGGUGAGGUAACGGCUCACCAAGGCAACGAUACAUAGCCGAGCUGAGAGGGUGAUCGGCCACACUGGAGCUGAGACACGGCCCCGACUCCUACGGAGGACAGCAGUAGGGAAACUUCGGCAAUGGGGGGAACCCUGACCAGGCGACGCCGCGUGAAUGAAGAAGGUUUUCGGAUCGUAAAGCUCUGUUGUUAAGGAAGCGGUACUUAGCAAGAAAGGGACGGCUAACUACGUGCCAGCAGCCGCGGUAAUUC